rnacentral:rRNA from 1 species
CCCCAGACUCCUACGGGAGGCAGCAGUGGGGGAUAUUGCACAAUGGGGGAAACCCUGAUGCAGCGACGCCGCGUGGGUGAAGAAGCGCCUCGGCGCGUAAAGCCCUGUCAGCAGGGAAGAAAAUGACGGUACCUGAAGAAGAAGCCCCGGCUAACUACGUGCCAGCGGCCGCGGUAAUACGUAGGGGGCAAGCGUUAUCCGGAUUUAUUGGGUUUAAAGGGUGCGCAGGCGGAAGCGCAAGUCAGCGGUAAAAUGGGGAGGCCCACCCUCUCCCCGCCGUUGAAACUGCGUUUCCUGAGUGGGCGAGAAGUACGCGGAAUGCGUGGUGUAGCGGUGAAAUGCAUAGAUAUCACGCAGAACUCCGAUUGCGAGGGCAGCGUACCGGCGCCCAACUGACGCUCAUGCACGAAAGCGUGGGUAUCGAACAGGAUUAGAUACCCCGGUAU